rnacentral:rRNA from 1 species
UGCAAGUCGAACGAUGAACCACCUUCGGGUGGGGAUUAGUGGCGAACGGGUGAGUAACACGUGGGCAAUCUGCCCUGCACUCUGGGACAAGCCCUGGAAACGGGGUCUAAUACCGGAUACUGAUCCUCGCAGGCAUCUGCGAGGUUCGAAAGCUCCGGCGGUGCAGGAUGAGCCCGCGGCCUAUCAGCUAGUUGGUGAGGUAAUGGCUCACCAAGGCGACGACGGGUAGCCGGCCUGAGAGGGCGACCGGCCACACUGGGACUGAGACACGGCCCAGACUCCUACGGGAGGCAGCAGUGGGGAAUAUUGCACAAUGGGCGAAAGCCUGAUGCAGCGACGCCGCGUGAGGGAUGACGGCCUUCGGGUUGUAAACCUCUUUCAGCAGGGAAGAAGCGAAAGUGACGGUACCUGCAGAAGAAGCGCCGGCUAACUACGUGCCAGCAGCCGCGGUAAUACGUAGGGCGCAAGCGUUGUCCGGAAUUAUUGGGCGUAAAGAGCUCGUAGGCGGCUUGUCACGUCGGUUGUGAAAGCCCGGGGCUUAACCCCGGGUCUGCAGUCGAUACGGGCAGGCUAGAGUUCGGUAGGGGAGAUCGGAAUUCCUGGUGUAGCGGUGAAAUGCGCAGAUAUCAGGAGGAACACCGGUGGCGAAGGCGGAUCUCUGGGCCGAUACUGACGCUGAGGAGCGAAAGCGUGGGGAGCGAACAGGAUUAGAUACCCUGGUAGUCCACGCCGUAAACGGUGGGCACUAGGUGUGGGCAACAUUCCACGUUGUCCGUGCCGCAGCUAACGCAUUAAGUGCCCCGCCUGGGGAGUACGGCCGCAAGGCUAAAACUCAAAGGAAUUGACGGGGGCCCGCACAAGCGGCGGAGCAUGUGGCUUAAUUCGACGCAACGCGAAGAACCUUACCAAGGCUUGACAUACACCGGAAAACCCUGGAGACAGGGUCCCCCUUGUGGUCGGUGUACAGGUGGUGCAUGGCUGUCGUCAGCUC